rnacentral:rRNA from 1 species
AAAGGGAGCGUAGGCGGUCCUAUAAGUCAGUGGUGAAAGCCUUCAGCUUAACUGAAGAAUUGCCAUUGAAACUGUAGGACUCGAGUAUGGUUGAGGUCACUGGAAUAUAACAUGUAGCGGUGAAAUGCUUAGAUAUGUUAUAGAACACCAAUUGCGAAGGCAGGUGACUAAGCCAUAACUGACGCUGAGGCUCGAAAGCGUGGGGAGCAAACAGGAUUAGAUACCCUAGU